ACAACAAAUAGAAUUCUGGCUUCCUCCUGCUGUAGCAGUAACAUUUUAGGAUCGGUGAAUGUAUGCGGUUUUGAACCCGAUCAAGUCAAAGUUCGAGUGAAGGAUGGAAAGCCCCUGCAGCCCCUGCAGCCCCUGCAACCCCUGCAGCCCCUGCAACCCGUGCAGCCCAUAUGAUCCUUGCAACCCGUGUUAUCCCUGUGGAAGCCGAUUUUCCUGUAGGAAGAUGAUUUUGUAAAGUGCGCAUAGGAACCCAUUACUUAAUAGAAGUCAGUUACUCCAGCCAGGCAGCUCUCCCAAUGUUUCUCCUCUCCUUCCCAUGGCCCCUGUUGUUGAAGUACGUAGGAAACUGAAUACAUAACUGCAAUCUG
rnacentral:lncRNA from 10 species